CAAAGAAAAAGUGUGAUUUUUCAAGGAAUCAAGUGUUUAAAGGUGGUGAGCUAUUUGAUACGGGUAAAAGACUACACCCGAGGACCGAGAAUAGGAGUAUAUCUACUCCUAGUACAGCUCAUAAUAGGCAGUAGACUGUCAAUUGCAUCGAGAAGUAA
rnacentral:sRNA from 1 species